ensembl:lncRNA
CUUCAUUGUAAUAAUGUCUCUGUGCCGUUCUGCGAUGACUUUGCACUCAGGAGCAUGGAUGCCAGUAACAAUUUGUUAAAAGAAACAGGCGCUGGAACAUUAGCCACCUCACCGAGCACUGAGAAAUGUUCUUUAAUUAUAAUCUAUGUUCUCGUUAUCACCCUUCCACCUGACACGUCUCCCUCCUUUUCUGUGGUUAUACUGCAGGGCAAACCUUUUAACUCGUGUCUGUGAGUGAAGACAGUUGAGGGUCCCUCUUAUUUAUUUGUGUUUUCCUGCACGUGACUUCCAGGGACGUGUACGCCUUCCUCAAGCAGCACUUCUUGGCCCAGGAUUUCAAGCUGCUGCUGAUAAGAUCUGUAGGAAGUACUGCCCUGCAGUGUGGAAAGGUGUAGUGCAUUCUAGUCGGAGCCAGAUGCACGGGUUGCUGCUGAAGGCCUUGCGAAACUCCUGUGUUAAAAGAUAGCACAUCUUCAAGCAAGCAGCAAAGAGAAGAAUAAUAAAGGAUCUGUACUCUCAGCAAGAGUAUUUACACGCUAAAUUGAUACACGAAUCUACAGGGCUGUCAAUUAUGUUCCAAGCAUGCUUGAAGCAAUGGGCGUGAAACCUGUGCAACCAGCUACUUGUCACCAAAGCUUUUACUCAUUUUGCAAAGAAAGCAAAUAAAAAGAAUUGUUAUUAGUAACAACGGCUGAGAUUCACUCGAGCUGAUCUGGGAAAAUGACAGUUUUCCAGCCAAACGUUUGCUUGUGGAUCUGAAGCUUCACCCAGUGACACACGGAACACUGUCACAGUCAACAGGACGCAGCUGUCAGACAGGUUUUGUGCUUUCUGGCCAGGGCACACUUAGCAGGGUCUGAGCCCUAAGAUGAGUGAAAUAACGCACAUGUUCUGCUGUUUGGCCUUUGGACUGUACUGCUCAAAUAUAUCUGUAUCUUUAUCUAUGUAUUCCCAGGACCCACUAAAUGCUACCAUAUUGGAAAGGAUUUUUUACUGUUGAUUAUGUAUGUCGUAUUACACGUCACUGUUUAUACUGACCACUUCAUUCUGAAAAAAAAACCAACCAAACUUAUCGUUAUUAUACAUAUCAUAUACUUAUUAUACAUAUUACUAAAACUACCACACUUCCUAUUAUCAAAACUUUUGAAGCAGUAUUUCAUUAGCUUUUUUUAAUAACGCUUUCAUCUCCCUCCCACCCUUGAUCAAGGAAUUGUUUGUAGGACUGCUGCUGGCUGGUUCUAAAGCCACUGUUGUUAUUUGGGUGGGGAGGAAAGGAGGACCACACACAGAUCUAAAGCAUACUUUGAUAAGUCAGAUUUCAAUCCAGUUUACAUUACUGAUGUUCUUUUUUUAUUUUUUUUUUCCAGCAAACAAUAAAUAGUUACACUGUUUUGAUUUACAGAUGGGUACUGCUUCUCGGUGAUAAAAAUAUUAGUAGCCUAUACUGACAUCACAACUGGCCUGUAAACAAGAAGGUUUAAAACAUCUCCCUAUCUACUUGUGCGGCUUCUGUUACCACUGAGCGCCCGUCAGUCUGAACUAAUGUACCCUCAUAAGAACUACAGCACGCAAUGACCAUCAGUACCAGGCACGGACAGGAAACUGAGGCACACUGCUGGCCUCUGCUGUACAAGUAAGGGGCACUGAUUUCCCUGCCUCACCCUUCAGCCUGCAAGGGUCAGUCCUCGGGGGCUGCAGCACCAGGGCAAGCCGGUUUUGAACACAGACACGCUGUCUGUUCUGAUUAGAGUGGGUUGUGUGGAGAACGGAAUGUAAGAUGUACAGGUCAAGAAAGAAGAAAAAAACUGUCCGAAGGGAAAAAUUAAAAAUAAAAAAGCUGUGUCUGUUUGCAGCACCAGGUGUGCCUGUGGCUGCUAAGAGAGACCACAGUACUUGUGGCAGUGUUUUCCUGCCAUGGUCCAACUCAGAAAAACUCAGAGAAACUGGGGCCAACGCACUGGCAAUGGUCCGCUGGUGUCUGCUGAGGUACUGCAGAAGGGAGUAUUUGUGAUGUUAACAGCACAAAUACUGAGCCGUUAUCAGCUCAGUUAUCAAUGAGCAUCUUCAGCCACGGGAAAAUUAGCACAAAUUGUCAGUAUUCUUUUUUUGUCCGUCUUGUUCAAGUUCAGCUGUAAGGCAGCUGUUUUCUAUCAGCUAAUGUGAAGAUAGGAUCCUAAUUUCACAGGACUGCUGUUAUUAAACACACUGUAGUUAGAUAAAGCCCCGUGCCAUCUCUACACUGUUAGUGCCCUUUCCUCUGACCAGCACCUUGUACCUGACAGAACCUGGCAGCCCAGCCUUUGCUCUGCUGCACCUUCUCCAGGGGACUCACUUUGUCCUUCUGAGUUUUCUCAUUUGGGCUCCAGAGUUCACUUUCUGAGAUUGCCUUGUUUCCAAACAAUAUGUUUUACAAUGACAAAACACCACAGCAAAACAUCCACUAUCCCUAAGGGAACAGAGAUUUCCCCAUUAACAGUCCCCUAACACUCUUAUCGUAAUCAUCAGCUAUGCAGCUGGCAAUAACUGCAAACCACAACCAUGCAGCAUUCUGAGCACUGAGAAGAUCGACGCAUGUAUUCAUGGCAGAUGAGAGGAAUAAAAGAGUUUGUGCAGAUUAGGAGGCACAGUUUCAUGGUGUGGAAAGGAUAAAGUAAUUUUCAUAGAAUCAUAGAACACUUUGAGUUGGAAGGGACUUUUAAAGGCCACGUAGUCCAACUUCCCUGCAAUGAACAGGGAGACCUACAGCCACAUCAGGGUGCUCACAGCCCCGUGCUGCCUCACCUUCAGUGUCGAUAUGGACAGGGCAUCCACCACCUCUCUGGGCAACCUGUGCCAGUGCCUCAUCACCCUUACUGUGAAAGGCUGAAAAACAUAUCCCUUACAUCCAAUCUAAAUCUCCCCUCUUUUAGUUUGAAAGCACUUCCCUUUGUCCUGUCAUCACAGACUCUGCUAAGGAGUCUGUCCCCUAAGAAGGGGGAAUAAAGACCUUACAGCUCCCCUUCAGAUACUGAAAGGCCGCUAUCAGGUGUCCCCAGAAUGCUGAACAGCCCCAGCUCUCUCAUCCUAUCCUUGAAGGAGAGUUGUUCCAUUCCAUGGACCAUUUCUGUGGCCCUCCUCUGGACGUGCUCCAAAAGGUCCAUGUCACUCCUGUACCGAAGACUCCACAUACGAACACAGAACUCCAGGCGAGGCCUCACCAGUAUAGAGCAGAGAAUCAGGAUCACCUCCCUCACCCUGCCGGGCACACUUCUUUUGAUCCAGCCCAGGAUACGGUCGGCUUUCUGGGCUGUGAGGGCACAUUGCUGGCUCCCAUCCAGCUUCCCAACCACCGGUACCACCCAGGUCCUUUUUGGCAGGGCUGUGCCUCACACCGCCGGACGACGCCUAGGCAGCACCUUCAGCAGCAGCCGGCACUUUUCCGAGAGACUGCUGGCGUCCUCGCUG